CCUACGGGUGGCAGCAGUGGGGGAUAUUGCACAAUGGGGGAAACCCUGAUGCAGCGACGCCGCGUGUGGGAAGACGGUCUUCUGGAUUGUAAACCACUGUCCCCAGGGACGAAAAUGACGGUACCUGGGGAGGAAGCUCCGGCUAACUACGUGCCAGCAGCCGCGGUAAUACGUAGGGAGCAAGCGUGGUCCGGAAUUACUGGGUGUAAAGGGAGCGUAGGCGGGGAUGCAAGGUGGGUGUCAAAACUACCGGCUCAACCGAUAGUCGCACUCAAAACUGCAACUCUUGAGUGAAGUAGAGGCAGGCGGAAUUCCUAGUGUAGCGGUGAAAUGCGUAGAUAUUAGGAGGAACACCAGUGGCGAAGGCGGCCUGCUGGGCUUUUACUGACGCUGAGGCUCGAAAGUGUGGGGAGCAAACAGGAUUAGAUACCCCUGUAGUC
rnacentral:rRNA from 1 species